rnacentral:rRNA from 2 species
GGGAUUGCCCUAGUAACGGCGAGUGAAGCGGCAACAGCUCAAAUUUGAAAUCUGGCUCUUUCAGAGUCCGAGUUGUAAUUUGCAGAGGGCGCUUUGGCGUUGGCAGCGGUCCAAGUUCUUUGGAACAGGACGUCACAGAGGGUGAGAAUCCCGUACGUGGUCGCUAGCCCUCGCCGUGUAAAGCCCCUUCGACGAGUCGAGUUGUUUGGGAAUGCAGCUCUAAAUGGGAGGUAAAUUUCUUCUAAAGCUAAAUACUGGCCAGAGACCGAUAGCGCACAAGUAGAGUGAUCGAAAGAUGAAAAGCACUUUGGAAAGAGAGUCAAAUAGCACGUGAAAUUGUUGAAAGGGAAGCGCUUGCAGCCAGACUUGCCUGUAGUUGCUUAUCCGGACUUUUGUCCGGUGCACUCUUCUGCGGGCAGGCCAGCAUCAGUUUGGGCGGUUGGAUAAAGGCCUCUGUCAUGUACCUCCUUUCGGGGAGGCCUUAUAGGGGAGGCGACAUGCAACCAGCCCGGACUGAGGUCCGCGCAUCUGCUAGGAUGCUGGCGUAAUGGCUGUAAGCGGCCCGUCUUGAAACACGGACCAAGGAGUCUAACAUCUAUGCGAGUGUUUGGGUGUCAAGCCCAGACGCGUAAUGAAAGUGAACGGAGGUGGGAACCUUAGGGUGCACCAUCGACCGAUCCUGAUGUCUUCGGAUGGAUUUGAGUAAGAGCAUGGCUGUUGGGACCCGAAAGAUGGUGAACUAUGCUUGAAUAGGGUGAAGCCAGAGGAAACUCUGGUGGAGGCUCGCAGCGGUUCUGACGUGCAAAUCGAUCGUCAAAUUUGGGCAUAGGGGCG